ACAGUGGAGGCAGUAACUUACAGUGGAGGCAGUAAGUUACUGCCUCUACUGUAAGUUACUGUCUCCACUGU
rnacentral:pre_miRNA from 1 species